rnacentral:tRNA from 1 species
UUUUUGUAAGUAAGGGAUUUUGAAAAUCUUUUCAGAAUUAAACAAUUCACAAAAAA